rnacentral:rRNA from 1 species
UACAGAGGUGGCAAGCGUUGUUCGGAAUUACUGGGCGUAAAGGGCUCGUAGGCGGCCAACUAAGUCAGACGUGAAAUCCCUCGGCUUAACCGGGGAACUGCGUCUGAUACUGGAUGGCUUGAAUCCGGGAGAGGGAUGCGGAAUUCCAGGUGUAGCGGUGAAAUUCGUAGAUAUCGGGAGGAACACCAGUGGCGAAGGCGGCUCUCUGGACCGGUACUGACGCUCAGGCGCGAAAGCGUGGGGAGCGAGCCGG